rnacentral:rRNA from 1 species
AACGAACGCUGGCGGCAGGCCUAACACAUGCAAGUCGAGCGAGGACUUCGGUCCUAGCGGCGGACGGGUGAGUAACGCGUGGGAACGUGCCCUUUGCUUCGGAAUAGCCCUGGGAAACUGGGAGUAAUACCGGAUGAGCCCUUUUGGGGAAAGAUUUAUCGGCGAAGGAUCGGCCCGCGUUGGAUUAGGUUGUUGGUGGGGUAAUGGCCUACCAAGCCGACGAUCCAUAGCUGGUUUGAGAGGAUGAUCAGCCACACUGGGACUGAGACACGGCCCAGACUCCUACGGGAGGCAGCAGUGGGGAAUCUUAGACAAUGGGGGAAACCCUGAUCUAGCCAUGCCGCGUGAGCGAUGAAGGCCUUAGGGUUGUAAAGCUCUUUCAGCUGGGAAGAUAAUGACGGUACCAGCAGAAGAAGCCCCGGCUAACUCCGUG